GUUACAAAUAUUUAACCCCAUCCACAGGCUCACAGGUUAACCCUUGACCCCAAGCUGGCGGUGCUGCUUUGGGAGGUGGUGGAAGCUGUAGGAGGCAGGGCCUCAGUUGAGGAAGUGGGUCAGCAUGGCUCUGCAUUCUCAAGACACAACAAUCCAGAGGCAGUGACAUGAAUGCUUGCUCCGUGGACAGGUGGAAAAAUGACUGGGGAUAAAGGAUGGAUGAGAGCAGGACCUGCUGUCUCACAGCAGCGCCACACAGAACCCCACCUGCUGUGGAAUGCACACGAGCCAUUUUAGAGCAUGGGGGAAAUGUGGAAGAACAUUUGCACAACUUCUAGCAACAUUCUUGGGUCAGUGGCCAUGACCCUGAGGCAAUGCUUAGCGCUACAGUGAUCGUUUGACUCCACACGGUACUACAAAAAGUGAAGCAGUGAAAGCCCUGGGCCACACCAACAAGCACGUGACAAGAGAGACGCUUGCUCAUACGACAGAGGCCUGCAUCCCUUAGGCAGAGUACUGACCAUGAUUGGAUGCGAAUGGAAGAAUGUCAACUAAGGAUUGUGUCUAUAUAGAAAAUCAUUAGCCAAACACCACAGGGCUAAUUAAUGUCAUUUGAAAUACUUUCUGUGUAUGUUGAAUAGAGUGCCGCCAUUAUCAUCUGGCCAAACGAAAUGCCUGCCCAUAAACAACAUGGAGCUAUUUAACAGGAUAGCUAAUUACAUCUCGUCUCACAGCCCCAACUGAUCCUAAGCAACAACUCCCUAAGCUGUGUUGUAGUGCAAGGUAGCCUAAGGCUCUGGGGCAGUUACUGAAUCAUGAGAUUUUACUGUUAGAACUUGUUCGGUGUGUUUAAAAACCACCAAAAUAUUGAAUGGAGUAAAGUUACUAGGGAGACCGCAGCUUGGAAAGAGGCAGAGGAGAUCAAGAUAGAGAGGGACACUUCAAAAGCCACGCUCGGGCUCACAGGCACCUGGCACGAAGCUAAGAAUGCUGGGGGAAUGGGAGGGAAAGUACCAAGCCCUGUGCUUUGCUCCAGGUCACCUGGUUCUAUGCGGCACCCUUGUGGGUGGCCUGUGGCAUCUAUGGCUGGAGGCAGCUGCAUGUGUUUCCAUGGUCUUCAGGUGGCAGGUUCUCUUUUUACCAAGCACUUUGUAUAAACUGUUCCCUUCAGCCUUCCUUCUUCACAUACAUUCUAUAGGAGGUUUAUUUUGGGCCCAAGGCGUGCUUCUCUCUGCAUUUGAUCUCAAAGCAAGCUCGUUGAAAAGAGGACCAGAGACCUAGACAAACCUUAUGGACUUGUGUCAUCCUUCUAUGUAUGCAAGAGACACAUUCCAGGUCCCCCCAUAGGCACCCAAGUUCUCACAUGCUCCGCUGUGGCAUUGCCAUAGAUCUGUACACAUCCCAGUGUGUGUAUUUUGAAUUGUCUCUAGACAAGUUUUGAUGAUAUUGCUGUGUCCAUGCCAGGGAGACAUUUGUUAAUGCUGCAUUGUGUUGGGGAUAAAGACAAGGGGAAAGCCACUCAUGCUCUGUGCAGAGGCAUUUUCAGUAAUCCCCCACCAUGGGGGAGGGAGGUCAGUUAAACCCUAGUGUCCAGGUUGGCUUUUUACUGCUGUGAUAAACACCAUGACCAAAAGCAAAUUGGGGAGAAAAGACUUCAUCUUAUGGCUUAUCGUGCAUCAUCCAGCAAGGCCAGGGCAGGAACUUGAGACAGGGACCUGGAAGGACGUACGAACUAAAGCAGAGACCAUAGAGGAAUGCUACUUACUCUCUUGCCUCCACUGCUUGUUCAUACAGCUCAGGACCACCUCCCACAACGAACUCCAUCCCCCAACCCACGUCCACCUUUAAUCAAGAGUCUUUCCUACAAACCAAUCUAAUGGAGGUAGUUUCUCAGCUGAGUGCUACUCCUCUACUAGUUUGUGUCAGGUUGACAAAUACUAACUAGCACCCUGGAUACAGCAGAUGUCAUGGAUACAAAGGGCUGGCUGCAGUGAUGGGACACUGGCCACCUUACUACCUUACUUCCUACCUACGAUGUGUCAAAGUCCAUCUCACUUUAAACCUAAAGGAGAAAAUAAUUUUGAAUAUUUUUCUUGAUUUUUUUCCCCAAAUGGGAUAUGGGAAAAAAGUACAACAUUACUGGGUCAUUAUUGUUCGUUUUCAGAACAAUGACAGAAUCUGAAAUCAUAUGGGAAAUGGACUCUGGGUUGGAACCCAGAACCUUGUCCCUCCCACUUAGGCAUGUGCUCUUACACUGAGCUACACCCUUGGCCUCAUACCUUCAUUUCUAAAAAUAAUGCCAAUGUGUAAUUGUGAGGAUUAAAGUAACAUGGAGACAAAUGAGUACACACUUCAUGUGCAUCAAAGCGGAGUCAUGCUAGGAAUUGCCUGGAGUGGACAUCUGUCUUAGGAGUUGCCAGGGAUGCUCAUAAUGACUCACAAAGUCUUCAGUGUGCUCCUUGACAUACAGUUUGUGUCACUGGUAUGGUCUUGGCCAGCUGCUCUCCAAUGUUUCCUCUAACUGGCUGCUCUCUGGACAUACCAUGAACCCCUCUGAGAACAAGCUUUUGCAGUGUAUCAGGGCCAACACCACUUGGCUUUUGAGAUGCUAUCUAUGUUUUCCAGCUACAGUGGUUUGUGACAUGCCUGGGCCUGUCCCAGUCUAUCCUAUGGAGACUGUUUACCUGCCUUUUUAAUGCUACAUACAUAUUCAGGUAAGCAGCCUGACGAUGAAUGAUGGCUGUAAGAAGCCAUUUCCAACAGUAGGUUGGGGUCUUGGUGGAUCUCAUGAUGCUCUUCUGUGGGGCUUCUGUAGACUUCAAGGACCAGUAAGCAGUUUUCACCCACAUGGGGGUAUGAGAUGUGAGAGGUGUUUUCUUGCUUUGUUCUCUUACAACUUUUCAAAUUAUAUGAAUGUAAUAAAAAGCAUACAUUAUUAAAAAUUUUAACUAGGUAUUUCACAUAUGGAGCUGUGAAGAAUUUCUUUUGGUGCCAAAAUGUCAUAAGGAAAAAAAGUAUGAGCUUUGUGAUUUGUGGACCUGCUAUGUAGGCAAUCUUUUUCAAAGUUGUAUUUUUCAAGAGGUGUUGGAACAUUUUUCUCCAUAAGGAUCACAGGUGGGAAACUCUUCAUAUACUGCUUCUACAAGUUGGAAAUUUUCCUUGUUUGAGGAUAAUGCAGAAAACAUUCAGUCCUCCAUGUUUGGUUGCUUUAUUUCUUCCUUUAGCCACAUUGCAGAGAACUUUCUAGAAAAGAAUUAAGAAUAUGCACCAAGAAACUCAUCACCACAACUGAGCACACAAUGGUGAGCAAGGUUAUCUCUAAAAUUGUACUCUAUACAUUUUUAAUACUCAAAAAGAAACAUCAAUGUGUCUCAUUUUCUAAUUUGUUAGAGAACAUGUCUGGUAACUGAUUAAACAAGCUAUAAAACACGGGGACCAAAGAGCCUCCAAGAACUUGAAAGACAUAUUACUUGGAUAAGCAAGUAACUCAUGAAAGUGAUGCUAUAGGAAAGAAUUUCUGUACAUCCUCCAUGGCUUGGUCCAAGUGAUGAGCCCUUUUCCAGUCCUUCUCAACAGACUUUAUGACCUACGUCGCCUAUUCCUCUCCUUAAUUCAUUAAACUGCAUUAAUUCAAACUAAUUAUCAUUUAAGCCUUUGACUCUAAAUUUCCUGGAUGAAAAUUUUGGAAUCUCUGAGUCAGAUGAACGUAUUACAUAAGUGCGCCCCAAGGAUUCACAAGCAGAAAACACAUCUUAGCGCUCAGUAAUGCCAGGGGACAUUCUUUUAGGGCAUCAUUCCUCCCUGAUUAUCAUUUUAUCUUCGCUCUUCAGUUGCAAGUCUUUCAUGAAGAAUUUGGGCAACGUUUUAAUUUAAAAAAAUUCCACCAUGCUACUUACAAACAUCAUUUUAAAAAACCUUUUAUUCAAUGGUAUACACAUUCAAGUAACAUUUGAAAUUUUUAAAAUAUAUGCUCAGAAGCAUGUGAACCUGCUGCUCUUGGUUAUUUACCUCACACACCCGGCUCAUGGUCACGUGCCCUUCAGGAGCCUAUUCCUGGAACCCCAUUUGGCAGUUUACCCAACAGAGCAAAAUUAAAAUUUAGAUCCUAGCCCCAAAAUGUUAUGUAACCAAAGCUUUGGUUUUUUGUGACCUUGAAGCGCUAGGUCAAGCCAAACAGCUUGAAUGUAAUUGUGUUUAACUGGAAACUCUGUGUCUGUACAUUUUUAAUGUCCCCAGAUUGCCACAUGAGACUCAGUCUUUAAAUGGGAUCCUUCUGAAGAGCAGAUUUCUUUGGGAGACAGGAUGAGGUAAAUAUGUAGAGACUAAUAUGACACAUGACUGUUUUGCAGGAUGACGCAACCAUGCAGUUGUUUUGUGAUUACCAAGCUCAUGAAGAAUGAACAAUAGACAUUGGAUGCAUUGGUUCAUGCUGUAGCCGCUGUAAUCAGGAAGCUGUGGGAGGAAGAACCCAAGUAGGAAGCCAAUCUGGAUACAUAGGGAUAGCCUGUCUAAGAAAACUAAAAAACUGUAUUCUGAAUACAACCCAAUGGCUUAAAGUAUCACUUAUAAGGAAACUGUAAACUUGCAAAACACUUAGAUUAUUUUUCUAAGGUUCCAAAGUAAGUGUAAUCGGUAAAGUUAAAAACUGUGGAGACAAUUAAGAGCAUGUAUGAGUCAGAUACUGGAAGCCUAGAAAGGAUCAAAAUUUAGAUCAAACAUGGGUUCUACUAAGGAUAUGCCCCCUAGCACUGUUUGGUCAAAGACCCACUAAUAUAUCCACCAAUAAUAAAGAGAACCUGUUCAAGUGUGUGUGUGCUGGAAUGACGCUCUUUGCUUUUCCAUUUUUUCCUGUCCAUUUGCCAGUACCAUUCCUUCUUAGUAUUUGUCGUGGUGGAAUGAUGUUCUGAGGACGUCUGAGGUUGGUACUAUGAGAGUUAUUUGUAAUGCUCAACUUGACACAGUGAAGGGAGGGUCAAUGUGGAAACUUCUGGGCUAGGAUGGCCUAUCAGGGGUGUUUGUGGGCAACUGUCAUGGUUACCUGCACAUGUGGGAAGAUCCGUGUGCAGCAUCUAUCUGUGACUUUGGAUCCUGAACUGUUGAGUGAUCAGAAAGUAGCUCAUUGAUUUCUGCUCCCAUUACUGCGUCUUCUCAGCUAUGUUGAACUGUGACCAGGAAUUGUGAGCCAAAAUAAAAAUUGCUUUUUAGGGUUCUUUAUCACAGCAACAAGAAAUAAAACUAAUCUAGAAACUGAACUUUAAGAAUUUAUUUAAACUCCACCUAGCCCAGAAGUUUCCACAUGGAUCCCAGCAGCCAGGAAAUGGAAGGAAAAAAUAUUCAUUCAUGGGGAGACAAUUAUACUUUCUUGAGCCACUGUACUUUCCGGAGUUAUGUCAUUUUACUGAAAUGGAGCCUUAUAAAUGGCAUAGCCCUGGUGUUUAAAAAUAAUGUAAUAUUCUUUGCAGCAUUCUUACAGAAUGAAUGAAGCACAGAUCCUGCUCAUUCUUCCUGUGUCCACUAUCCACACCAAAAGAAGAUCUACCCAAGUCGAAACCAUCACUCCAUCUGUUACUAUCACUCUUUGGAGUUCAGGACCCCAUCUGCUCCCAAGAGAGCAUGGUUGAAGGUCAGGGGUGGAGUCAGGAACAUUGGUUAGCAUGUUCAGCCCGAGUAGCUGCUGAGUCAGCAUCCAUUACAUCAUUUCUGCUCAUUCCCCAGGCCCUUCUCCAGGUCAUGCUGGACUCCUCCCUGCCAUGUGUCCUGCUCUUGGUGUCACCCUGUUCUUUGGCCCCAGUCUCCUCCUGCCGUCCUCAGAUGGAGGCAGACUCCAUGGAUGCCUGUCUUCUGUAUCUGGUAAACAGACACAGGAAAAUUGCUAGUUCAAAGUCAGCUAGAGCCACAAGGUCCCACUUCACAUUCUGAGUAACUGUCCCAGCUUCUGGAGAGCAAACAGAACAUGCUAAGGACCGUGACAUGGGAAGGUCAGUAGAGACAUCUAUUCUCCCAGUGAUGCUCAUACGGAAACAAUGUGUGACUGAAGUCAAAUGGAAAUACAAAAGCGUAUUUAUUCCUGGUCUAUGCAGUUCCUUGGACACCUGAUACCUCUCUCCUGCUAACAAGAGUUUCAACAAUGUUCACACACACAGAUGCCCCCAACUGGAGACAUAUCUAUAAAAAAAAUCUAUGAUGAAUUUUACUUGGAGCUAUAACAGCAAAAGUUCAAACAAUAUGCAUUCUUGAAAAACAGAAGAGUAAAAAAUAAAAGAUUACUGUAAUAUCCCAAACAAACAGAGAAGUGGUUGAUAUAUUUCUCUGAAGACUCUGGCUUGAUUCAUGUGUCCCACAGAGCACCAGGGAUCAGGUACCAAUAGGCUGGGUCUCAAGACUUUAGAGUCCCGAGGGUGCAGGGCGUGAGGAGACAAGGUUGAGCUGUAUGAAACAUAAUAGAAAACUUAAAAAUGAAACGAAGAGCGAAACAGCAGAAGUCAAGCAAAUGGCGGACACGGAGAGACACAGUAAGAAAAUGGCAACAUAUUUAGAUGUUGCUGCCUGCCGUGUGCUGUGGCUGCUGUGGCUACUGCUGUGGGACCAAGAGUGUUGUCUGGAAGGACAGAACACAGCACUGAAAAAUUUUGGUUUCAUGGAGGAAAAGAAGUUAAAGGAGAGAUGGUGUGGAGGAGAGAUGUGUGAAAAUAACAAAGGAAUAUAAAGAGUCAUCAACAAGAUCACGGGUGAGACACUGAAGUAGGAAAGCAACCCAUUCAUUCUAGAAUAAAAAUAGCAUCACACAAGUAUAAAGAAGACUCACCCCAGUGGAGAAAUGGGCCCUCUGGGCAUCAAGAAGGGGCAGGUACUUGGGAAUGCGCCCCCCCAACCCCCGAGCGCCCCAGUCUUUGUACCUUUCUGUUGACAAAGGCCCAGCUUCCCUGCAGCUCAACGAACACUUGCUGUUUGAGGCUAAACUGGGAACCAGAUGAAAAAAAGAGGAGUAACCGACCAGCAUCUAAACAAACAAGAAUAAAUUAC
rnacentral:sRNA from 1 species